AGCAGCCGCGGUAAUUCCAGCUCCAAUAGCGUAUAUUAAAGUUGUUGCAGUUAAAAAGCUCGUAGUUGAAUUUCGAGACCGGUUUACUGGUCGUGCUUUUGUACGUACUGGUAUUAUUGGUUUCUCCUUUCUGACGAAUCAUAAUGCCAUUAAUUUGGUGUUUUGGGGAAUCAGGACUGUUACUUUGAAAAAUUAGAGUGUUUAAAGCAGGCUCACGCUUGAAUACAUUAGCAUGGAAUAACGAAAUAGGACGUUUGAUUUUAUUUUGUUGGUUUCUAGGAUCGACGUAAUGAUUAAUAGGGAUAGUUGGGGGCAUUAGUAUUCAAUUGUCAGAGGUGAAAUUCUUGGAUUUAUUGAAGACUAACUACUGCGAAAGCAUUUGCCAAGGAUGUUUUCAUUAAUCAAGAACGAAAGUUAGGGGAUCGAAGACGAUCAGAUACCGUCGUAGUCUUAACCAUAAACUAUGCCGACUAGGGAUCGGAUGAUGUUAAUUUUUAAUGUACUCA
rnacentral:rRNA from 1 species